UACGUAGGGACCGAGCGCUGUCCGGAAUCAUUGGGCGUAAAGAGCGUGUAGGCGGCUAUUUAAGUCCUGCGUGAAAUCCUGCGGCUCAACCGCAGACGGUCGUGGGAAACUGGAUGGCUAGAGUGCGGGAGAGGAGAGUGGAAUUCCCGGUGUAGCGGUGAAAUGCGCAGAUAUCGGGAAGAACACCCGUGGCGAAGGCGGCUCUCUGGAACGCAACUGACGCUGAGACGCGAAAGCGUGGGGAGCAAACAGG
rnacentral:rRNA from 1 species